UACAGAGGGGGCAAGCGUUGUUCGGAAUUACUGGGCGUAAAGGGCGCGUAGGCGGCCUUCUAAGUCGAACGUGAAAUCCCUGGGCUCAACCCAGGAACUGCGUCCGAUACUGGAAGGCUUGAAUCCGGGAGAGGGAUGCGGAAUUCCAGGUGUAGCGGUGAAAUUCGUAGAUAUCAGGAGGAACACCAGUGGCGAAGGCGGCUUUCUGGACGGUAACUGACGCUGAGACGCGAAAGCGUGGGGAGCAAACAGG
rnacentral:rRNA from 1 species